rnacentral:rRNA from 1 species
GACGAACGCUGGCGGCGUGCUUAACACAUGCAAGUCGAACGGAAAGGCCCUGCUUUUGUGGGGUGCUCGAGUGGCGAACGGGUGAGUAACACGUGAGUAACCUGCCCUGGACUUGGGGAUAACUUCAGGAAACUGGGGCUAAUACCGGAUAGGAGCUCCGGCUGCAUGGGGGGGGUUGGAAAGUUUCGGCGGUGGGGGAUGGACUCGCGGCUUAUCAGCUGGUUGGUGGGGUAGUGGCUUACCAAGGCUUUGACGGGUAGCCGGCCUGAGAGGGUGACCGGCCACAUUGGGACUGAGAUACGACCAGACUCCUACGGGCGGCAGCAGUGGGGAAUAUUGCACCAUGGGCGGAAGCCUGAUGCAGCAACGCCGCGUGCGGGAUGACGGCCUUCGGGUUGUAAGCCGCUUUCGCCUGUGACGAAGCGUGAGUGACGGUAAUGGGUAAAGAAGCACCGGCUAACUACGUG